UACGCGCACUACGCUGGCGGCGUGCCCCGUAAUGCAUCAUGAGCGGACCGACGGGAGACUUGCUCCCUUUGGUCAGCGGCGGACGGGUGAGUAACACGUGGGUAACCUGCCUGUAAGACUGGGAUAACUCCGGGAAACCGGGGCUAAUACCGGAUGCUUGAUUGAACCGCAUGGUUCAAUCCUAAAAGGGGGCUUUUAGCUACCACUUACAGAUGGACCCCCGGCGCAUUAACUAGUUGGUGAGGUAACGGCUCACCAAGGGGACCAUGCGUAACCCAACUGAAAGGGUGAUCGGCCACACUGGGACUGGAACACGGCCCAGACUCCUACGGGAGGCAGCAGUAAGGAAUCUUCCGCAAUGGACGAAAGUCUGACGGAGCAACGGCGCGUGAGUGAUGAAGGUUUUUCGAUCGUAAAACUCUGGUGGUAGGGAAGAACCAGUAGCGGUCGAAUAGGGCGGUACCUUGACGGUAACUAACCAGAAAGGCACGGCUUACUACGUGCCAGCAGCCGCGGUAAUACGUAAGUGGCAAGCGUUGGUCGGAAUUAGUGGGCGUAAAGCGCGCGGCAGCGGUUUCUUGAGUCUGAUGUGAAAGCCCCCGGGCUCACACCGGGGGAGGGUCAAUGGAAACUGGGAACUUGGAGUGCAAAAGAGAGAGAAGAGGAGAGUGGAAUUCCACGUCAAGUGUAGAGGGUUCCGCCCUUUAGUGCUGCAGCAAACCGCAUUAAGCACUCCGCCUGGGGAGUACGGUCGCAAGACUGAAACUCAAAGGAAUUGACGGGGGCCCGCACAAGCGGUGGAGCAUGUGGUUUAAUUCGAAGCAACGCGAAGAACCUUACCAGGUCUUGACAUCCUCUGACAACCCUAGAGAUAGGGCUUCCCCUUCGGGGGCAGAGUGACAGGUGGUGCAUGGUUGUCGUCAGCUCGUGUCGUGAGAUGUUGGGUUAAGUCCCGCAACGAGCGCAACCCUCGAUCUUAGUUGCCAGCAUUCAGUUGGGCACUCUAAGGUGACUGCCGGUGACAAACCGGAGGAAGGUGGGGAUGACGUCAAAUCAUCAUGCCCCUUAUGACCUGGGCUACACACGUGCUACAAUGGGCAGAACAAAGGGCAGCGAAGCCGCGAGGCUAAGCCAAUCCCACAAAUCUGUUCUCAGUUCGGAUCGCAGUCUGCAACUCGACUGCGUGAAGCUGGAAUCGCUAGUAAUCGCGGAUCAGCAUGCCGCGGUGAAUACGUUCCCGGGCCUUGUACACACCGCCCGUCACACCACGAGAGUUUGUAACACCCGAAGUUCAGGUAGAGGUAACCUUUGGAGCCGAGGCUCGCUCAGAUAUGGGGGACAGCGACACGUCUGGUG
rnacentral:rRNA from 1 species